GAUGAAGAACGUAGCGAAAUGCGAUAAGUAAUGCGAAUUGCAGAUCUCAGUGAGUCAUCGAAUCUUUGAACGCACAUUGCGCCCCCUGGUAUUCCGGGGGGCAUGCCUGUUCGAGCGUCAUUACAACCCUCAAGCUCUGCUUGGUGUUGGGCCCCGCCGCCCCGGCGGGCCCUAAAAUCAGUGGCGGUGCCGUCCGGCUCCGAGCGUAGUAAUUCUUCUCGCUCUGGAGGUCCGGGUGUGUGCUCGCCAGCAACCCCCAAUUUUUUUCAGGUUGACCUCGGAUCAGGUAGGGAUACCCGCUGAACUUAAGCAUAUCAAUAAGCGGAGGA
rnacentral:misc_RNA from 1 species